CCAAUUUCCUUGCUCAUUCAUAUAGCUCUCUUUGGGCUUUCCGAAAAGGUAUCACAUGCAAAGUUUGGCCUCGCGGUCUAAAAGUUAUAGAGGUAUACUUUUUUACCAAAAAAAAAGAAGAAAAAAACCAAAAAAAAGAGGGAUUCAACACGAGGACUUUCUGGGAGGUCACUCAUCCUAUUACUACUCUCGCCCAAGCACGCUUAACUGCGGAGUUCUGAUAGGAUCCAGUG
rnacentral:sRNA from 1 species